AUGGUCCAGAUACUAUCCCUUAUCCACAGCAAAAGUGGGACUCUAAGUAGCAUGCCCUACAUACCAGCAGACGUCACAAACCUAAAGGCAAAGUACCAUAGAGAGAGCAUGUUGGCUGACAUAGAAGCCACGAUAGCCUACUUCGAUGAGAAAGCGAAGGAAGAUCCAGAUUUCUUCUACAAGAUAAGAUUGGACGAUGAGGGCCAUGUCAGGAGCAUGUAUUGGGUGGAUGGUUUUGCAAGAAGAGCCUACAAACAUUUCUGA
rnacentral:rRNA from 1 species